rnacentral:rRNA from 1 species
AAAGAAAGUAAGCAAGGGCGCAUGGCGGAUGCCUUGGCUCUCGGAGGCGAUGAAGGACGUGAUAAGCUGCGAUAAGCUUCGGGCAGGUGCAAAUAACCUUUGAUCCGAAGAUUUCCGAAUGGGACAACCCGUCAUUCUGAAGGAAUGACAUCUUGCAUAGCAAGAGGCUAACGCAGGGAACUGAAACAUCUUAGUACCUGUAGGAAAAGAAAAUAAUAAUGAUUCCCCUAGUAGUGGCGAGCGAACGGGGAUUAGCCCAAACCAAUGUUGUUACGGCAAUAUUGGGGUUGUAGGACCACGAUGUCGCAAGAAGUUUAGUGAGAAGAACCCUUUGGAAAAUGGGACCAUAGACGGUGAUAGUCCGGUAUUCGAAGCUAAAUGAAGCGUAGUGGUAUCCUGAGUAGCGCGGGACACGAGGAAUCUUGCGUGAAUCUGCCGGGACCAUCCGGUAAGGCUAAAUACUCCCGAGAGACCGAUAGCGAACCAGUACUGUGAAGGAAAGGUGAAAAGCACUUCGAAUAGAAGAGUGAAAUAGUCCCUGAAACCGUGCGCCUACAAGCGGUCGGAGCUGCUUCAGCAGUGACGGCGUGCCUUUUGCAUAAUGAACCUACGAGUUACUUUUUCCGGCAAGGUUAAGGAUCUUGAGAUCCGCAGCCGAAGCGAAAGCGAGUCUUAAUAGGGCGAUUAGUCGGAAGGAGUAGACGCGAAACCAAGUGAUCUACCCUUGGUCAGGUUGAAGGUUAGGUAACACUAACUGGAGGACCGAACCGAUAAGCGUUGAAAAGCUUCCGGAUGAACUGAGGGUGGGGGUGAAAGGCUAAUCAAACUUGGAGAUAGCUCGUACUCCCCGAAAUGCAUUUAGGUGCAGCCUUGGGAAUUACUACUGUGAGGUAGAGCGACUGAUAAGAUGCGAGGGCUUCACCGCCUAUCAAGUCUUGAUAAACUCCGAAUGCGCAGUAGUUCGAUCCCAGGAGUGAGGGCAUGGGUGCUAAGGUCCAUGUCCUAAAGGAGAAGAAUCCAGACCAUCAGCUAAGGUCCCGAAAUAAUUGCUAAGUUGAACUAACGAAGUCAGAUUGCUAAGACAGCUAGGAUGUUGGCUUGGAAGCAGCCAUUCAUUUAAAGAGUGCGUAACAGCUCACUAGUCGAGGAGUUUGGCGUGGAUAAUAAUCGGGCAUUAAGCAAUUUACCGAAGCUAUGGGAU